rnacentral:rRNA from 1 species
AACGAACGCUGGCGGCAUGCCUAACACAUGCAAGUCGAACGAUCCCUUCGGGGAUAGUGGCGCACGGGUGCGUAACGCGUGGGAACCUGCCCUUAGGUUCGGAAUAACUCAGAGAAAUUUGAGCUAAUACCGGAUAAUGUCUUCGGACCAAAGAUUUAUCGCCUUUGGAUGGGCCCGCGUUGGAUUAGCUAGUUGGUGGGGUAAAGGCCUACCAAGGCGACGAUCCAUAGCUGGUCUGAGAGGAUGAUCAGCCACACUGGGACUGAGACACGGCCCAGACUCCUACGGGAGGCAGCAGUGGGGAAUAUUGGACAAUGGGCGAAAGCCUGAUCCAGCAAUGCCGCGUGAGUGAUGAAGGCCUUAGGGUUGUAAAGCUCUUUUACCCGGGAUGAUAAUGACAGUACUGGGAGAAUAAGCCCCGGCUAACUCCGUG